rnacentral:lncRNA from 1 species
CAGAUCAGGGCAGGAGUAGCUUCGGCCCAGAGAGGGCUUAGGGAGAAGUGCUGGGGUAUUGUGGUCCUGAGUUCGCCACUGGCGGAUUGGGGGCCGGGGGCUGACAGACGCAGUGCCCUCAGCAGCCCCAGACUGCUCGGCCUCUGAGAUGGCGAUCUUCAGUUUUGUUGGGCGUGAGGAAGAUGUCAGCAAAGCUCUCCAGCUUGGAGCGGACGGAACGGAAGAGCGGGGCCAAGCCCCAGGGACUGAGGCGGGGGCGUAAAAGGCUGGAC